rnacentral:misc_RNA from 1 species
GAUGAAGAACGUAGUGAAAUGCGAUAAGUAAUGUGAAUUGCAGAAUUCAGUGAAUCAUCGAAUCUUUGAACGCACAUUGCGCCCGCUAGUAUUCUGGCGGGCAUGCCUGUUCGAGCGUCAUUUCAACCAUCAAGCCCUGCUUGUGUUGGGGUCCUGCGGCUGCCCGCAGGCCCUGAAAACCAGUGGCGGGCUCGCUAGUCACACCGAGCGCAGUAGCACAUCUCGCUCAGGGCGUGCGGCGGGUUCUUGCCGUAAAACACCCCCUUUUUACCAAGGUUGACCUCGGAUCAGGUAGGAAUACCCGCUGAACUUAAGCAUAUCAUAAGCGGAGGA